rnacentral:lncRNA from 12 species
AUCCAUCCAUCCAUCCAUCCAUCCAUCCAUCCAUCCAUCCAUCCAUCCAUCCAUCCAUCCAUCCAUCCAUCCAUCCAUCCAUCCAUCCAUCCAUCCAUCCAUCCAUCCAUCCAUCCAUCCAUCCAUCCAUCCAUCCAUCCAUCCAUCCAUCCAUCCAUCCAUCCAUCCAUCCAUCCAUCCAUUCCUCAGUCUUAGAAUUUAUGAACUUAAAGGUUUCCUUCGUGCAAUGUAACCACAACUCUGAAUUUUCAAGGCUUCUGUUCAUCUGCUUAAGUUCUUGUAUCUGCAAGCAGGCAUCUGGGAGAACAGGUUUUGCACGCUUUUCUGAGAUCCCCACGUGGCCUCUGGGCCAGUUUGCAUCUCUGGAGAUACACCUUGCAUGAAAUCAGAGGUACAACUC